CGUGGGUAACCUGCCCAAGAGACUGGGAUAACACCUGGAAACAGAUGCUAAUACCGGAUAACAACACUAGACGCAUGUCUAGAGUUUAAAAGAUGGUUCUGCUAUCACUCUUGGAUGGACCUGCGGUGCAUUAGCUAGUUGGUAAGGCAACGGCUUACCAAGGCAAUGACGCAUAGCCGAGUUGAGAGACUGAUCGGCCACAUUGGGACUGAGACACGGCCCAAACUCCUACCGGGAGGCAGCAGCC
rnacentral:rRNA from 1 species